AGUGAACGCUGGCGGUAGGCCUAACACAUGCAAGUCGAACGGCAGCACAGUAAGAGCUUGCUCUUACGGGUGGCGAGUGGCGGACGGGUGAGGAAUACAUCGGAAUCUACUUUUUCGUGGGGGAUAACGUAGGGAAACUUACGCUAAUACCGCAUACGACCUACGGGUGAAAGCAGGGGAUCUUCGGACCUUGCGCGAUUGAAUGAGCCGAUGUCGGAUUAGCUAGUUGGCGGGGUAAAGGCCCACCAAGGCGACGAUCCGUAGCUGGUCUGAGAGGAUGAUCAGCCACACUGGAACUAGACACGGUCCAGACUCCUACGGGAGGCAGCAGUGGGGAAUAUUGGACAAUGGGCGCAAGCCUGAUCCAGCCAUACCGCGUGGGUGAAGAAGGCCUUCGGGUUGUAAAGCCCUUUUGUUGGGAAAGAAAAGCAGCAGGUUAAUACCCCGCUGUUCUGACGGUACCCAAAGAAUAAGCACCGGCUAACUUCGUG
rnacentral:rRNA from 1 species